GUCCAGGGUAGCCUAGUGGACAUGGCAUCUGCCCAGUAAGCGGAACACUGGGUUCGAUUCCCAUGGACU
rnacentral:tRNA from 1 species